rnacentral:rRNA from 1 species
UACGGAGGAGGCAAGCGUUAUCCGGAAUUAUUGGGCGUAAAGCGUCCGUAGGUGGCUCUUCAAGUCUGCUGUCAAAGAGUGGGGCUUAACCCUGCAAAGGCAGUGGAAACUGAAAGGCUAGAGAGCCGUAGGGGUAGAGGGAAUUCCCGGUGUAGCGGUGAAAUGCGUAGAGAUCGGGAGGAACACCGGUGGCGAAGGCGGUUCUCUGGGCAUUACCUGACGCUGAGGAGCGAAAGCAUGGGGAGCGAACAGG